rnacentral:rRNA from 1 species
AUUGAACGCUGGCGGCAGGCCUAACACAUGCAAGUCGAGCGAGCGGCGGACGGGUGAGUAAUGUCUGGGAAACUGCCUGAUGGAGGGGGAUAACUACUGGAAACGGUAGCCAAUACCGCAUACCAUCAGAUGUGCCCAGUUGGGAUUAGCUAGUAGGUGGGGUAAUGGCUCACCUAGGCGACGAGCCCUAGCUGGUCUGAGAGGAUGACCUGCCACACGGGAACUGAGACACGGUCCAUACUCCUACGGUGGUCACCAGUGGGAAAUAUUGCACAAUGGGCGCAGGCCUGCUGCAGCCAUGCCGCGUGUGUGAAGAAGGCCUUCGGGUUGUAAAGCACUUUCAGCGGGGAGGCGUUACCCGCAGAAGAAGCACCGGCUAACUCCGUGCCAGCAGCCGCGGUAAUUC